rnacentral:misc_RNA from 1 species
AGCAGCCGCGGUAAUUCCAGCUCCAAUAGCGUAUAUUAAAGUUGUUGCAGUUAAAAAGCUCGUAGUUGAAUUUCGGGAUCAGUUGAUCGGUCGUGCCUCGGUACGUACUGGUCAAAUUGAUUCCUACCUUCUGACGAACCACGAUGUCAUUAAUUUGGUGUCGCGGGAAAUCAGGACUGUUACUUUGAAAAAAUUAGAGUGUUUAAAGCAGGCUCGCGCUUGAAUACAUUAGCAUGGAAUAAUGAAAUAGGACGUUUGAUUCUAUUUUGUUGGUUUCUAGGAUCGACGUAAUGAUUAAUAGGGAUAGUUGGGGGCAUUAGUAUUCAAUUGUCAGAGGUGAAAUUCUUGGAUUUAUUGAAGACUAACUACUGCGAAAGCAUUUGCCAAGGAUGUUUUCAUUAAUCAAGAACGAAAGUUAGGGGAUCGAAGACGAUCAGAUACCGUCGUAGUCUUAACCAUAAACUAUGCCGACUAGGGAUCGGAUGAUGUUAAUUUUUAAUGUACUCAUUCGGCGCCUUAA